rnacentral:rRNA from 1 species
AUUGAACGCUGGCGGCAGGCCUAACACAUGCAAGUCGAGCGAGCGGCGGACGGGUGAGUAAUGUAUGGGGACUGCCCGAUAGAGGGGGAUAACUACUGGAAACGGUAGCUAAUACCGCAUACUAUCGGAUAACCCAUAUGGGAUUAGCUAGUAGGGGAGUUAAUGGCUCACCUAGACGACGCUCCCUAGCUGGUAUGAGAGGAUGAUCAGCCACACGGGGACUGAGACACGGCCCAGACGCCGACGGAGGCAGCAGUGGGGAAUAUUGCACAAUGGGCGCAAGCCUGAUGCAGCCAUGCCGCGUGGAUGAAGAAGGCCCUAGGGUUGUAAAGUACUUUCAGGCGGGAGGCGUUACCGACAGAAGAAGCACCGGCUAACUCCGUGCCAGCAGCCGCGGUAAUAC